AGUGAACGCUGGCGGUAGGCCUAACACAUGCAAGUCGAACGGCAGCACAGUCAGAGCUUGCUCUCACGGGUGGCGAGUGGCGGGCGGGUGCGGGGUACAUCGGCAUCUACUUUUUCGUGGGGGAUAACGCCGGGAACCUUACGCUAACACCGCAUAUGAUCUAAGGGUGAAAGCAGGGGAUCCUCGGACCUUGCGCGAUUGCAUGAGCCUCUGUCGGCUUAGCUAGUUGGCGGGGUAAAGGCCCACCAAGGCGACGCUCCGAGGCUGGUCCGAGCGGAUGAUCAGCCACACUGGAACAGAGACACGUGCCAGACUGCUACGGGAGGCAGCAUGGGGGAAUAUUGGACCAUGGGCGCAAGCCUGAUCCAGCCAUACCGCGUGGGUUAAGAAGCCCUUCGGGUUGUGAAGCCCUUUUGUUUGGAAAGAAAAGCAGCAGAGUAAUACCCCGCUUUUCGGACGGUACCCAAAGAAUAAGCACCCGCUAACUUCGUG
rnacentral:rRNA from 1 species